GUUCCCUUCUCCCUUCCUGUAGUGGGCUGUGUUCUCACCCUACCUCAGAGCUACACCUGUCAGCAGCGAGGCCCAGGGCAGCUCUGUCACUGAGGGAGUGGCCUUGACACCCCCCAAGCCCCGUCAGUUUCCUUCCCUCAGAUGAGCCCGACAUCCAGGACAAUCCUCCAGAGGCAGAAGGCUACACCUCUCAGGGUGCGUUUUACAGGAAAGUAAAAUCUCCUUCAUUGUUGACCUCAUCAUGCCAAUACUUAACUGAAGAGGGCAGCGUCAGGGCCUGUCUGGAACCCCUGCCUGCCCCGCCCACCCCCAUUAAAUCAUUCUUUGUCCCAACUCUUCCCUCAGCACCCUUUCCUCCCUCUCCCCACCCUGCUGGCUGCCUGAGUCAUUUAUAACCCAGGGCCCUGGUUUUUGUGGGUGAUGCUGUAAUAUCCUGCCUUAUCCCUGCCAGAGUCCGCUUGCUCCCUUGCCAGGUAGGGCUCCCUGUAUUUCAACAGGAACCUUCAGGAGAUUGGCCUUAAGCCACAGGAGGGUUGCCCAAAGUGAGGAGACUAAGAGGUGAAGAGACCUGUCCAAGUCCUAUCCCAUCACAGAGCCUCUUGAAAGUGAAAGAGAGUGAAAAAGUUGGCUUAAAACUCAACAUUCAGAAAACUAAGAUCAUGGCAUCUAGUCACGUCACUUCAUAGCAAAUAGAUGAGGGAAAAAAGGAAACAGUGACAGACUUUAUUUACUUUGACUCCAAAAUCACUGUAGAUGGUGACUGCAACCAUGAAAUUAAAAGACGCUUGUUCCUUGGAAGAAAAAUUAUGACCAGCAUAGACAGCAUAUUAAAAAGCAGAGACAUUACUUUGCCAACAAAGGUCCAUCAAGUCAGAGCUGUGGUUUUUCCAGUAGUCAUGUAUGGAUGUGAGAGUUGGACCAUAAAGAAAGCUGAGCGCCAAAGAACUGAUGCUUUUAAACUGUGUUGUUGGAGAAGACUCUUGAGAGUCCCUUGGACUGCAAGGAGAUCCAACCAGUCCAUCCUAAAGGAAAUCAGUCCUAAAUAUUCAUUGCAAGGACUGAUGCUGAAGCUGAAGCUCCAGUACUCUGGCCACCAGAUGCAAAGAACUGAGUAAUUGGAAAAGACCCUGAUACUGGGAAAGAUUGAAGGCAGGAGGAAAAGGGGACGACAGAGGAUGAGAUGGCUGGAUAGCAUCACCGACUCAAUGGACAUGAGUUUGAGCAAGUUUCAGGAGUUGGUGAUGGACAGGGAAACCUGGUGUGCUGCAGUCCAUGGGGUAGCAAAGAGUCGGACACGACUGAGCGACUGAACUGAACUGAUAGUUUGAAGAACAGGUGGAGAUUUUCCAAGUGGACAAGAGGGUAUGGGGUAUUCCAGGCAGAGGGCUCAGCUUGUGCAAAGAUCAAGUGGCACGGACCAGCCUUGGAGUGUCCAUGGAAUCCUGCUGGGGGUGAGGCACUGAGAUAGAGGUUGUUAUAGAGAAGCA
ensembl:lncRNA